GUAGGGAAUAUUGGGCAAUGGGUGCAAGCCUGACCCAGCCAUCCCGCGUGCCGGAUGAAGGCCCUCUGGGUCGUAAACGGCUUUUGACGGUGAAGAACCGAAAGGGUGCGCCCUUUUUUGACGGUAGCCGUUGAAUAAGCACCGGUUAACUCCGUGCCAGCAGCCGCGGUAAUACGGAGGGUGCGAGCGUUGUCCGGAUUUAUUGGGUUUAAAGGGUGCGUAGGCUGGAGGGACAGUCAGCGGUGUAAAGCAGUUGCUCAACAAUUGUCUUGCCGGAGAUACUUCCUUUCUUGGAUGAGGAGGAGGCCACUGGAACGGAUGGUGUAGCGGUGAAAUGCAUAGAUAUCAUCCAGAACACCGAUUGCGAAGGCAGGUGGCUGUACCUUAAUCGACGCUGAUGCACGAAAGCAUGGGGAGCAAACAGGAUUAGAUACCCUAGUAGUCC
rnacentral:rRNA from 1 species